UUAAGUUAUUAAGGGCACACGGUGGAUGCCUAGGCACAAGAAGGCGAUGAAGGACGUGACUACCGACGAUACGCUACGGUGAGGUGGAAGUAACCUAGUACCCGUAGAUCUCCGAAUGGGACAACCCGAUUUUGGUAAUUCAAAAUCAUCCAUAUCUGAAUACAUAGGAUAUGCGAAGCUAACCCAGGGAACUGAAACAUCUAAGUACCUGGAGGAAGAGAAAAUAAUAAUGAUUUCCUGAGUAGUGGCGAGCGAAAAGGAAACAGCUUAAACCGUUCAACAUGUUAAAGGUCGUAACUGUUGUGUUGACGGUGUUGUGGGAUAUUUUUUGACAGAAUUACGAAUACGUCGAGGAGUAAGAAAUUAUAAUUUUAGUUGAAUAAUCUGGAAAGUUUAAUCAUAGAAGGUGAAAAUCCUGUAGACAAAAAGAUUAUAACUCCUUUAAAAUACACCCGAGUACCACGAAGUAAGUGGAAUUUUGUGGGAAUCUGCCAGAACCAUCUGGUAAAGCUAAAUACUUUCUUGUGACCGAUAGUGAAUAAGUACCGUGAGGGAAAGGUGAAAAGUACUCCUAACAGGAGAGUGAAAUAGUACCUGAAACCGUGUGCUUACAAGCAGUUGGAGUCUCGAUUUAUCGGGAUGACAGCGUGCCUUUUGGAUAAUGAGCCAACGAGUUGCUCGUGCGUUGCAAGGUUAAUUUCCUAAGGAAUGAAGCCGAAGCGAAAGCGAGUCUGAAAUGGGCGAACUUAGUAACGUGCGGCAGACGCGAAACCGGGUGAUCUACCCUUGUCCAGGAUGAAGUGAGGGUAAAACCUCAUGGAGGUCCGAACCAGUAUCGGUUGAAAACGAUUUGGAUGAGGUGAGGGUAGGGGUGAAAGGCCAAUCAAACCCGGAGAUAGCUCGUAUUCCUCGAAAUAGCUUUUGGGCUAGCCUCGAGUAAAAGUGUAACGGAGGUAGAGCUACUGAUUGGGCUAGGGCCCUCACAAGGGUACCAAACUCAGACAAACUCCGAAUGCCGUUUACAUGUUUCUCGGGAGUCAGGCAGUGGGGGAUAAGCUUCAUUGCCAAGAGGGGAACAACCCAGACCAUCGAUUAAGGCCCCAAAAUAGUAGUUAACAGAGAAAGGAUGUUAGAUUGCUCAGACAACUAGGAUGUUGGCUUAGAAGCAGCCAUUCAUUUAAAGAGUGCGUAAUAGCUCACUAGUCAAGCGAUCUAGCGUCGACAAUUUGCGGGACUUAAACUACUUGCCGAAAUCAUGGGUUAUUCGAUUUUAUCGGAUAGCGGUAGAGGAACAUUCUAUAGGCGCUGAAGGCGUACUGCGAGGUAUGUUGGAGCGUAUAGAAGUGCAAAUGUUGGCAUAAGUAACGAUAAGAUAGAUGAAAAAUCUAUCCGCCGAAAGUCUAAGGUUUCCUGAGCAAUGUUAAUCAUCUCAGGGUUAGUCGGGUCCUAAGCCGAGGCUGAAAAGCGUAGGCGAUGGAAAACAGGUCAAAAUUCCUGUACCUGGUAUAAUUUGUUUGACUAUAAGGAGGGACGCAGAAGUGAAGAUCAGCCACCUGUCGGAUUAGGUGGUCUAAGUGUGUAGGUUUAGAGAGUAGGCAAAUCCGCUCUCUUAUAAGACUGAGACACGAACGGGAGAGCCUAGCUCACAAACUGAUCGUAAUCAUGCUGCCUAGAAAAGCUUCGUAUAGAAGAAUUAUAUCAGUCCGUACCGCAAACCGACACAGGUAGACGGGAUGAGUAUUCUCAGGCGCUCGAGUGAAUCGUGGUUAAGGAACUCGGCAAAUUAGCUCCGUAACUUCGGGAGAAGGAGCACCCUUAUUAGGUGAAACUCUUUGCGAGUUUAGCUGAACGGGGUCGCAGUGAAAAGGCCCAGGCGACUGUUUAACAAAAACACAUGUCUCUGCGAAGUCAAUUAAGACGAUGUAUAGGGACUGACACCUGCCCGGUGCUGGAAGGUUAAGAGGAGAGGUUAUUCCUUCGGGAAGAAGCUUUGAAUCGAAGCCCCAGUAAACGGCGGCCGUAACUAUAACGGUCCUAAGGUAGCGAAAUUCCUUGUCGGGUAAGUUCCGACCU
rnacentral:rRNA from 1 species